AACCUAGCACACCUGCGGUGUGUACCUGCGGAGGGAUCAUUACCUAGAGUUGUAGGCUUUGCCUGCUAUCUCUUACCCAUGUCUUUUGAGUACCAUACGUUUCCUCGGUGGGCUCGCCCACCGAUUGGACAAAUUUAAACCCUUUGCAGUUGAAAUCAGCGUCUGAAAAAACUUAAUAGUUACAACUUUCAACAAUGGAUCU
rnacentral:misc_RNA from 1 species